rnacentral:rRNA from 1 species
AUGAGCAAAGACAAAGCAGCGAUUGCAAUCUCAGUUAUGUGGGCCAUUUGGAGCAGCAGGAAUAAAUACACACAUGAGGAAAUAAAGUUCCAGCCUUCACGGCCUAUGGAUCUCAUUCAGGAACUGAUUCAAGCACUGCAUGUGCCGGGCAUGCCAAGCUCGGGUGUUACUCUCGGUAAGGCAAAGUGGCAUCCACCGGCAGGGACUAUCAAAAUAAACACGGAUGCUGCAGUGGAUGUAAGUGAGAGAAGAUCUUCUUUAGGAGUUGUGGCUCGUGAUCAUCUGGGAACCUUUGUGGCUGGCCGUUGCUCGAAGUUCCCAGGGGUCACCGAUGCGUAUGUUGCAGAAUUACUGGCUGUUCGUGAAGCAGUUUUGCUAGCAAGGGAUAAUGGAUGUCCGAAUAUCCUGAUUGAAACUGACUGUCAGGUCAUCAGGAAUGAGUGGAAGAAUGGAGACAUCAGCUCUGUUGGAGGCCAUGUCUUGAGAGAGAUCAAGUCUUUCCUCUCGAAUUUCCAGGGAUUUGACAUUGUUUACACUAGAAAGGAUGCUAAUGUUGUUGCGCAUCGCUGUGCAAAUGAGGGUUUAUCUAGUAGCUUAAAUGUAAUCUCUUUCAGUGUAAUCCCUGAUUUCUUGGUUGCCUUAGUGCAAUCGGAUGUAGACCGCCGAUAUGAUGAAUAA